rnacentral:misc_RNA from 1 species
AUCCGCUCCCUUUCUGAGCUUGUUGAGAAAGGAAUGUUAUCUAAAGGAGCAGAGAGUUCAAUGUUAUAGCCUGCCCUCUUUAUCUGAAUAUCACGUCUACGACCCAACAAGUUGUCUUCCACAAAAGAAAGAAUAGAUGGACUGGGGCAUAUCGCACGAAAUUGUGCAUUCUUCGACAGUUCAACAUUUUUCGUUUUUGCUGAAUCUUCUUGCUUUUCCUUAUUGUUAUCUAUACUUGUUACUCCAUCAUCAAGCCUCUUAUUGGAGGUA